AACGAACGCUGGCGGCAUGCCUAACACAUGCAAGUCGAACGAUUGCCUUCGGGUGAUAGUGGCGCACGGGUGCGUAACGCGUGGGAAUCUGCCCUUAGGUUCGGAAUAACAGCUGGAAACGGCUGCUAAUACCGGAUGAUAUCGCGAGAUCAAAGAUUUAUCGCCUGAGGAUGAGCCCGCGUUGGAUUAGGUAGUUGGUGGGGUAAAGGCCUACCAAGCCGACGAUCCAUAGCUGGUCUGAGAGGAUGAUCAGCCACACUGGGACUGAGACACGGCCCAGACUCCUGCGGGAGGCAGCAGUGGGGAAUAUUGGACAGUGGGCGCAAGGCUGAUCCAGCAAUGCCGGGUGAGUGAUGAAGGCCCUAGGGUUGUAAAGCUCUUUUACCCGGGAAGAUAAUGACUGUACCGGGAGAAUAAGCCCCGGCUAACUCCGUG
rnacentral:rRNA from 1 species